rnacentral:rRNA from 1 species
GACCUGCAGGCGCCGCGGAAUCACUAGUGAUUUAGCAGCACCGGCUACUCGUGCAGCAGCCGCGGUAAUACGGAGGGGUGCAAGCGUACUCGGAAAUCGCUGGGCGUAAAGCGCGCGCAGGCGGCCUUUAAGUUGGGAUGUGAAAGCCUAUGGCUCAACCAUAGAACUGCAUCCCAAAACUAUCAGGCUAGAGUGUGGGAGAGGAAGAUGGAAUUUAGUUGUGUAGGGGUAAAAUCCGUUGAGAUAACUAGGAAUACCAAAAGCGAAGGCAAUCUUCUGGAACAUUACUGACGCUGAGGCGCGAAAGCGUGGGGAGCAAACAGGAUUAGAUACCCUGGUAGUCCACGCCCUAAACGAUGAAUGUUAGUCGUCGGGUAGCUAGUCUAUUCGGUGAUGCAGCUAACGCAUUAAACAUUCCGCCUGGGGAGUACGGUCGCAAGAUUAAAACUCAAAGGAAUAGACGGGGACCCGCACAAGUGGUGGAGCAUGUGGUUUAAUUCGAAGAUACGCGAAGAACCUUACCUAGCCUUGACAUAUUAAAGAACACCCUAGAGAUAGAGUGGUGCCUUCGGGAGCUUUUUUACAGGUGCUGCACGGCUGUCGUCAGCUCGUGUCGUGAGAUGUUGGGUUAAGUCCCGCAACGAGCGCAACCCUCGUCACUAGUUACUAACGGUUCGGCCGAGGACUCUAGUGAGACUGCCUUCGUAAGGAGGAGGAAGGUGAGGACGACGUCAAGUCAUCAUGGCCCUUACGGCUAGGGCAACACACGUGCUACAAUGGCCAGGACAGUGAAACGCGAUACCGCGAGGUGGAGCAAAUCUAUAAACCUGGUCUCAGUUCGGAUUGUAGUCUGCAACUCGACUACAUGAAGCUGGAAUCACUAGUAAUCGUAGAUCAGCUAUGCUACGGUGAAUACGUUCCCGGGUCUUGUACUCACCGCCCGUCACACCAUGGGAGUUGAUUUCACCCGAAGCGGGGAAGCUAAACUGGCUACCCUCCACGGUGGAAUCAGCGACUGGGGUGAAGUCGUAACAAGGUAACC